AAAAAGUCAACUGUUAACUAAAGAAGAAAGAGAUAACAAAAGAAAAGGUGCUUCUUUCCCUUCACUAGGGAUCACAAUUUUAACUACAAUUCGAAUCCUGGUAUUUUAGUAAAAGAGCUGUAUGAGCUCGCUGACUGUUUGCUAUUCCAGUUUGUUUAUUGCCUGCACACCCAUGCAAAGAAUCCCCCUCUUUCAUGGACAUCUCUGUUUUGGGAGGAGCUUUUCUUUGCCCUCUUUGUUUAGCUUUUAUCUCACUGACAGGCAGCCCAAGGAGAGGAAACUUUACUGCCAGCUGCCUGGGUUUUAUGAAAAGAAAGAAAACUGUCUUCUCAGUUGCUAACAUCUUCUCCUCAUGAUCCAAAAGAAAGAAGGUCCACAUGGUUAUCUAAGCCCAAACAAAUGUAUUGACAUUUUUAUUUGUCUAUCCAUUACCAGUCAUCCAUCAUGAGUUAAGGCAGGAAAGGACAAACAGCUUUGUUUUCUAUUUUAGCCCUUUGACUUCCUUAAAGAUUUUCACGCUGGUGGGAAAUGGGUCUCUGAGCACAGGUUUCAAACAGAAAAAAAUGCCCUUCAAAGCCCUGGGAAAGUGCACCAGGGAUGCUAUGCAGUCACAACCCAUCCUUUUAUGUCCUGUGUGUGUCCCUGCAACACCAGCUCAGAUCAAACCCAGCACAGCUCCUCUGGGCAGAGCCAUGCAUGUGCCUGCUGCCACACCAAAGCAAGGCUCUGCCACAAAGCCAUACGCGGGUGCACGGUGGGCAGUGACAGUCAGUGUGACUUGGGCUCCUUGGGGUUUGGCACUGCUCUUCUCUCCUCCUGCCCCUUUGGUUUCUGCUCCACUUCCUCAGGCUCCAAGUUCCCAAGGUGGAAUCUCCUUGGCCCAGCAGGCAGUGCUCCACUUGGAGACCUCUCAGUCAUGCAGAUAAAACAGCUGCAGCGGAGAAGGAGCAUCGCUUCCACUUCAGCUUUCAAGGAAAAACAUUCAUGUAAAGUAGUGCCCUUUGACAGAAAUUAUGCAAGACUCUCCUGCAACCCUCGAGUCAGGCAGAACAGUACUUGCUAUGGUGUUGUCCUACAAAACGUGAAUUUUGACAUCAGUACUGACCAGCCUGAAGGAAAGUGA
rnacentral:lncRNA from 1 species